UACGUAGGGUGCGAGCGUUAAUCGGAAUUACUGGGCGUAAAGCGUGCGCAGGCGGUUCGUUAAGUUCGUUGUGAAAGCCCCGGGCUCAACCUGGGAACUGCAAUGGAAACUGGCGGGCUUGAGUCCGGAAGAGGCGAGUGGAAUUCCUGGUGUAGCGGUGGAAUGCGCAGAUAUCAGGAAGAACACCAACGGCGAAGGCAGCUCGCUGGGACGGUACUGACGCUGAGACGCGAAAGCGUGGGGAGCGAACAGG
rnacentral:rRNA from 1 species